UCCGUAGGCGGUUUAGUAAGUCAGUGGUGAAAGCCCAUCGCUCAACGGUGGAACGGCCAUUGAUACUGCUAGACUUGAAUUAUUAGGAAGUAACUAGAAUAUGUAGUGUAGCGGUGAAAUGCUUAGAGAUUACAUGGAAUACCAAUUGCGAAGGCAGGUUACUACUAAUGGAUUGACGCUGAGGCGCGAAAGCGUGGGGAGCAAACAGGAUUAGAUACCCGCGUA
rnacentral:rRNA from 1 species